rnacentral:rRNA from 1 species
UACAGAGGUCUCAAGCGUUGUUCGGAUUCAUUGGGCGUAAAGGGUGUGUAGGCGGCGCGGUAAGUCGGGUGUGAAAUCUCGGAGCUUAACUCCGAAACUGCAUUCGAUACUGCCGUGCUUGAGGACUGGAGAGGAGACUGGAAUUUACGGUGUAGCGGUGAAAUGCGUAGAUAUCGUAAGGAAGACCAGUGGCGAAGGCGGGUCUCGUGGACAG